rnacentral:rRNA from 2 species
UUAAAUUGAAGAGUUUGAUCAUGGCUCAGAUUGAACGCUGGCGGCAGGCCUAACACAUGCAAGUCGAACGGUAACAGGAAGCAGCUUGCUGCUUUGCUGACGAGUGGCGGACGGGUGAGUAAUGUCUGGGAAACUGCCUGAUGGAGGGGGAUAACUACUGGAAACGGUGGCUAAUACCGCAUAACGUCGCAAGACCAAAGAGGGGGACCUUCGGGCCUCUUGCCAUCAGAUGUGCCCAGAUGGGAUUAGCUUGUUGGUGAGGUAACGGCUCACCAAGGCGACGAUCCCUAGCUGGUCUGAGAGGAUGACCAGCCACACUGGAACUGAGACACGGUCCAGACUCCUACGGGAGGCAGCAGUGGGGAAUAUUGCACAAUGGGCGCAAGCCUGAUGCAGCCAUGCCGCGUGUAUGAAGAAGGCCUUCGGGUUGUAAAGUACUUUCAGCGGGGAGGAAGGUGUUGUGGUUAAUAACCACAGCAAUUGACGUUACCCGCAGAAGAAGCACCGGCUAACUCCGUGCCAGCAGCCGCGGUAAUACGGAGGGUGCAAGCGUUAAUCGGAAUUACUGGGCGUAAAGCGCACGCAGGCGGUCUGUCAAGUCGGAUGUGAAAUCCCCGGGCUCAACCUGGGAACUGCAUUCGAAACUGGCAGGCUUGAGUCUUGUAGAGGGGGGUAGAAUUCCAGGUGUAGCGGUGAAAUGCGUAGAGAUCUGGAGGAAUACCGGUGGCGAAGGCGGCCCCCUGGACAAAGACUGACGCUCAGGUGCGAAAGCGUGGGGAGCAAACAGGAUUAGAUACCCUGGUAGUCCACGCCGUAAACGAUGUCUACUUGGAGGUUGUGCCCUUGAGGCGUGGCUUCCGGAGCUAACGCGUUAAGUAGACCGCCUGGGGAGUACGGCCGCAAGGUUAAAACUCAAAUGAAUUGACGGGGGCCCGCACAAGCGGUGGAGCAUGUGGUUUAAUUCGAUGCAACGCGAAGAACCUUACCUGGUCUUGACAUCCACGGAAGAAUUCAGAGAUGGAUUUGUGCCUUCGGGAACCGUGAGACAGGUGCUGCAUGGCUGUCGUCAGCUCGUGUUGUGAAAUGUUGGGUUAAGUCCCGCAACGAGCGCAACCCUUAUCCUUUGUUGCCAGCGGUCCGGCCGGGAACUCAAAGGAGACUGCCAGUGAUAAACUGGAGGAAGGUGGGGAUGACGUCAAGUCAUCAUGGCCCUUACGACCAGGGCUACACACGUGCUACAAUGGCGCAUACAAAGAGAAGCGACCUCGCGAGAGCAAGCGGACCUCAUAAAGUGCGUCGUAGUCCGGAUUGGAGUCUGCAACUCGACUCCAUGAAGUCGGAAUCGCUAGUAAUCGUGGAUCAGAAUGCCACGGUGAAUACGUUCCCGGGCCUUGUACACACCGCCCGUCACACCAUGGGAGUGGGUUGCAAAAGAAGUAGGUAGCUUAACCUUCGGGAGGGCGCUUACCACUUUGUGAUUCAUGACUGGGGUGAAGUCGUAACAAGGUAACCGUAGGGGAACCUGCGGUUGGAUCACCUCCUUACCUUAAAGAA